rnacentral:rRNA from 2 species
GAUGAACGCUAGCUACAGGCUUAACACAUGCAAGUCGAGGGGCAGCGGGUUGAAAGCUUGCUUUCAAUGCCGGCGACCGGCGCACGGGUGCGUAACGCGUAUCAAACCUGCCUCAUACUCGGGGAUAGCCUUGCGAAAGUAAGAUUAAUACCCGAUGUUGUUGCUUUCUCGCAUGGAAGAGUAACCAAAGAUUUAUCGGUAUGAGAUGGUGAUGCGUCCGAUUAGGUAGUAGGCGGGGUAACGGCCCACCUAGCCUUCGAUCGGUAGGGGUUCUGAGAGGAAGGUCCCCCACACUGGAACUGAGACACGGUCCAGACUCCUACGGGAGGCAGCAGUGAGGAAUAUUGGUCAAUGGGCGAGAGCCUGAACCAGCCAAGUAGCGUGCAGGAUGACGGCCCUCCGGGUUGUAAACUGCUUUUAGUUGGGAAUAAAAAAAGGGACUUGUCCCUUCUUGUAUGU